rnacentral:rRNA from 1 species
AGCAGCCGCGGUAAUUCCAGCUCCAAUAGCGUAUAUUAAAGUUGUUGCAGUUAAAAAGCUCGUAGUUGAAUUUCGGGAUCAAUAUUUCGGUCAUGCCGUUGGUACGCACUGUUAUCAUUGAUUUCUCACCUUCUAAAGAACCGUAAUGCCAUUAAUUUGGUGUUACGGGGAAUUAGGACUGUUACCUUGAAAAAUUAGAGUGUUUAAAGCAGGCUCACGCUUGAAUACAUUAGCAUGGAAUAAUGAAAUAGGACAUCCGAUUCUAUUUCGUUGGUUUCUAGGAUCGAUGUAAUGAUUAAUAGGGAUAGUUGGGGGCAUUAGUAUUCAAUUGUCAGAGGUGAAAUUCUUGGAUUUAUUGAAGACUAACUACUGCGAAAGCAUUUGCCAAGGAUGUUUUCAUUAAUCAAGAACGAAAGUUAGGGGAUCGAAGACGAUCAGAUACCGUCGUAG